AGGGUUUGAUCAUGGCUCAGAUUGAACGCUGGCGGUAUGCUUAACACAUGCAAGUCGAACGCGAACGGUACUUCGGUACUUAUUAGAGUGGCGGACGGGUGAGUAACGCGUGGGAAUCUACCUAGUAGUUGGGGACAACCUGGUGAAAACCAGGCUAAUACCGAAUACGCCCUACGGGGGAAAGAUAGCCUCUUCUUGAAAGCUUUCGCUAUUAGAUGAGCCCGCGUUGGAUUAGCUAGUUGGUGGGGUAAAGGCCUACCAAGGCGACGAUCCAUAGCUGGUCUGAGAGGAUGAUCAGCCACACUGGAACUGAGACACGGUCCAGACUCCUACGGGAGGCAGCAGUGGGGAAUAUUGGACAAUGGGCGCAAGCCUGAUCCAGCAAUACCGCGUGUAUGAAGAAGGCCCGAGGGUUGUAAAGUACUUUCAAUUGUGAAGAGGGGAUAGUUAGUUAAUAGCAUUCUAUCCUGACGUUAACUUUAGAAGAAGCACCGGCUAAUUCAGUGCCAGCAGCCGCGGUAAUACUGAAGGUGCAAGCGUUAAUCGGAAUUACUGGGCGUAAAGCGCGCGUAGGCUGUUAUUUAAGUCAGAUGUGAAAGCCCCGGGCUCAACCUGGGAACUGCAUUUGAUACUGGGUAACUAGAGUAUGUUAGAGGAAAGUGGAAUUCAGGGUGUAGCGGUGAAAUGCGUAGAUAUCCUGAGGAACACCAAUGGCGAAGGCAACUUUCUGGGACAAUACUGACGCUGAGGUGCGAAAGCGUGGGGAGCAAACGGGAUUAGAUACCCCGGUAGUCCACGCCGUAAACGAUGAGAACUAGUUGUCGGGAGGGUUUACCUUUCGGUGACGCAGCUAACGCAUUAAGUUCUCCGCCUGGGGAGUACGCCGGCAACGGUAAA
rnacentral:rRNA from 1 species